GGAACUUCAAGCUCAGCUUGGUGUUGGGUGCUUGUCCGCCGCCCGCGGCGGACUCACCUUAAAUGCAUUGGCGGCUGGUAUGUUGGCUACAGCGCAGUACAACGCGUCUGGCGUCUUGAUAUACUGGUCCUCCAGAAGCCCCUUUUUUG
rnacentral:misc_RNA from 1 species